rnacentral:rRNA from 1 species
AGCGAACGCUGGCGGCAGGCCUAACACAUGCAAGUCGAACGAAGUCUUCGGACUUAGUGGCGGACGGGUGAGUAACACGUGGGAACGUGCCUUUAGGUUCGGAAUAACUCAGGGAAACUUGUGCUAAUACCGAAUGUGCCCUUCGGGGGAAAGUUUUAUCGCCUUUAGAGCGGGCCGGGUCUGAUUAGCUAGUGGGUGAGGUAAAGGCUCACCAAGGCUACGAUCAGUAGCUGGUCUGAGAGGAUGACCAGCCACAUCGGGACUGAGACACGGCCCAAACUCCUACGGGAGGCAGCAGUGGGGAAUCUUGCGCAAUGGGCGAAAGCCUGACGCAGCCAUGCCGCGUGGAUGAUGAAGGUCUUAGGAUUGUAAAAUCCUUUCACCGGUGAAGAUAAUGACUGUAGCCGGAGAAGAAGCCCCGGCUAACUUCGUGCCAGCAGCCGCAGUAAUAC